GGCCCCGUAGCCAAGUGGUAAGGCACGGCACUGCAAAUGCCUGAUCGUCGGUUCAAAUCCGGUCGGGGCCUCCA
rnacentral:tRNA from 1 species